AAAACGACUCUCGGCAACGGAUAUCUCGGCUCUCGCAUCGAUGAAGAACGCAGCGAAAUGCGAUACUUGGUGUGAAUUGCAGGAUCCCGCGAACCAUCGAGUUUUUGAACGCAAGUUGCGCCCGAAGCCUUUCGGCCGAGGGCACGUCUGCCUGGGUGUCACUC
rnacentral:rRNA from 1 species